AUUGAACGCUGGCGGCAGGCCUAACACAUGCAAGUCGAACGAGUGGCGGACGGGUGAGUAAUGUCUGGGAAACUGCCCGAUGGAGGGGGAUAACUACUGGAAACGGUAGCUAAUACCGCAUACCAUCGGAUGUGCCCAGAUGGGAUUAGCUAGUAGGUGGGGUAACGGCUCACCUAGGCGACGAUCCCUAGCUGGUCUGAGAGGCGGACCAGUCACACUGGAACGUAGACACUGUCCAGACUCCUUCGGGGGGCAGGAGUGGGGAAUAUUUCACAAGGGGCGCAAGCCUGAUGCAGCCAUGCCGCGUGUAUGAAGAAGGCCUUCGGGUUGUAAAGUACUUUCAGCGAGGAGGCGUUACUCGCAGAAGAAGCACCGGCUAACUCCGUGCCAGCCGCCGCGGUAAUUC
rnacentral:rRNA from 1 species